UACGAAGGGGGCUAGCGUUGCUCGGAAUGACUGGGCGUAAAGGGCGCGUAGGCGGCUUGCACCGUCAGAUGUGAAAUUCCUGGGCUUAACCUGGGGGCUGCAUUUGAUACGUGUGGGCUUGAGUGCGGAAGAGGGUCGUGGAAUUCCCAGUGUAGAGGUGAAAUUCGUAGAUAUUGGGAAGAACACCGGAGGCGAAGGCGGCUUGCUGGGCUCGGUCUGACGCUGAGGCGCGAAAGCGUGGGGAGCGAACAGG
rnacentral:rRNA from 1 species